rnacentral:rRNA from 1 species
UACGGAGGGUGCAAGCGUUGUCCGGAUUUAUUGGGUUUAAAGGGUGCGUAGGCGGCCCGGUAAGUCAGUGGUGAAAGCCUCCAGCUCAACUGGAGAACUGCCAUUGAUACUGUCGGGCUUGAGUACAGACGAGGUUGGCGGAAUUGAUUGUGUAGCGGUGAAAUGCAUAGAUACAAUCAAGAACUCCGAUUGCGAUAGGCAGCUAACUAGGCUGUAACUGACGCUGAGGAGCGAAAGCAUGGGGAGCGAACAGG